AAGUAGAAGGCAUGCGUGCUGCUCUGUGUAAAAAAACGGAAGUGAUGCUCUCUGAGCCCAUGU
rnacentral:ribozyme from 1 species